rnacentral:tRNA from 1 species
GCCGGGUUAGCUCAGUCGGUAGAGCAACGCACUCGUAACGCGUAGGUCGUAGGUUCAAUUCCUGCACCCGGCA